GUUCUGCGUGAAGCGGGUCAGGGGAGGAAUCCAGCAGCCCUAAGCGAUUUGAAUUGUGUGCUCUUUUUUCGUGCACUUU
rnacentral:SRP_RNA from 1 species